rnacentral:rRNA from 1 species
UACGAAGGUGGCAGGCGGUGUUCGGAUUUACUGGGCGUACAGGGAGCGUAGGCGGUUGGGUAAGCCCUCCGUGAAAUCUCCGGGCCCAACCCGGAAAGUGCGGAGGGGACUGCUCGGCUAGAGGAUGGGAGAGGAGCGCGGAAUUCCCGGUGUAGCGGUGAAAUGCGUAGAGAUCGGGAGGAAGGCCGGUGGCGAAGGCGGCGCUCUGGAACAUUUCUGACGAUGAGGCUCGAAAGAGUGGGGAGCAAACAGG